GCUGGUGUAGCUCAGUGGUAGAGCAGCUGCCUUGUAAGCAGCAGGUCGUGGGUUCGAUCCCCACCGCCAGCUCCA
rnacentral:tRNA from 1 species